rnacentral:rRNA from 1 species
GACGAACGCUGGCGGCGUGCUUAACACAUGCAAGUCGAGCGGUAAGGCCCUUUCGGGGGCACACGAGCGGCGAACGGGUGAGUAACACGUGGGUGACCUGCCCUCAGCUCUGGGAUAAGCCUGGGAAACCGGGUCUAAUACCGGAUAUGACUCCAUGACGCAUGUUGUGGGGUGGAAAGCCUUGUGCGGCUGAGGAUGGGCCCGCGGCCUAUCAGCUUGUUGGUGGGGUGANGGCCUACCAAGGCGACGACGGGUAGCCGGCCUGAGAGGGCGACCGGCCACACUGGGACUGAGACACGGCCCAGACUCCUACGGGAGGCAGCAGUGGGGAAUCUUGCGCAAUGGGCGAAAGCCUGACGCAGCGACGCCGCGUGAGGGAUGACGGCCU